rnacentral:rRNA from 1 species
CCUGCCGGACCUGACUGCUAUCGGAUUGAUACUAAGCCAUGCGAGUCUUUGUAGUAAUACAAGGCAUACGGCUCAGUAACACGUAGUCAACCUACCCUAUGGACGAGAAUAAUCUCGGGAAACUGAGCAUAAUUCUUGAUAGAUCAUAAUGCCUGGAAUGGUUUAUGGUUAAAAUGAUUCGUCGCCAUAGGAUGGGACUGCGGCCUAUCAGCUUGUUGGUGAGGUAAUGGCCCACCAAGGCGAUUACAGGUACGGGCUCUGAGAGGAGAAGCCCGGAGAUGGGUACUGAGACACGGACCCAGGCCCUAUGGGGCGCAGCAGGCGAGAAAACUUUGCAAUGUGCGAAAGCACGACAAGGUUAAUCCGAGUGAUUUCUGCUAAAGAAAUCUUUUGCCAGUCAUAAAACCACUGGUGAAUAAGGGGUGGGCAAGUUCUGGUGUCAGCCGCCGCGGUAAAACCAGCACCUCAAGUGGUCAGGAUGAUUAUUGGGCCUAAAGCAUCCGUAGCCGGCUUUGUUAGUUUUCGGUUAAAUCCAUGUGCUCAACGUAUGGGCUGCCGAAAAUACUGCAUAGCUAGGGAGUGGGAGAGGUAGACGGUACUCAGUAGGAAGGGGUAAAAUCCUUUGAUCUAUUGAUGACCACCUGUGGCGAAGGCGGUCUACCAGAACACGUUCGACGGUGAGGGAUGAAAGCUGGGGGAGCAAACCGGAUUAGAUACCCGGGUAGUCCCAGCUGUAAACGAUGCAGACUCGAUGAUGCAUUGGCAUAAUAGCCAGUGCAGUGUCGCAGGGAAGCCGUUAAGUCUGCCGCCUGGGAAGUACGUACGCAAGUAUGAAACUU